rnacentral:lncRNA from 1 species
UGGCCAAAUAGGCUAAAGUAUGUAACACCAAAUAGGUGCUGAUAUGAGUACAUCCUUUGAAUUAGAAAAAGAUACAAAAGCUGGCAAAACAACCAUGGGGUCCUACAGAGUUCUUGAAUGUUAUGAAGGAACUAAAAAGAGUGUCUAAGUUGUAUACAUCAUAUAAAUUAGGUCCGAAAACCACCAAAGGAUGUGGUGCAGUGGUGGAUGGGACUGCUCCUCCCUUAAUCAGAGGUCUCGUGGGUAUGGAAAACUCUUUUGUAGGGAGCGCUUCCUCCCGAAUGGAACCCUACGCAGCGCAAAUACGGAUAUAGUCAAGCUCCAAUGCGGAUACCGGACACUGGGUGGGAAAACAAAAAAAUAGGUCAAAAAAGCUAACAAUUGCCCAACAUAACUAAUACAUGUACAAAAAGUUAUUUUGGCAGUAGCAUAUGCAAAUAAAAUCUUAAACUAUAAGGUUUCAAACACCAAAGGAUAUAAAAAUUGUUUGUUUGGCUACAUGUGGAAGAAAAAGUAGUUGCAAGAAAAGGAUUCCCAGUUGUAAUUGACAUUGUUCUCAUCAUCUUCUCUAACCAACCCUAUCUUUAUGAAUUCUCCAGCGCUUCCAAUUGUCUACCAUCUCCUUGGCUUAUUCCCUCUUCCUAUUUGGCUCGCACCUUCUUCAUGUUUUAGUUUGGCAGCAACACAGUUCUUUAGUACAACAUUCCUCUACAAUAUACUACCAUGCUGCUCUUCAAACCAGUAAGGCACUGCCUAGAAGUUCUAAACCUGGUGCAACAAUAAACAUCACGUUAAACCUACGUCCAGCUUUGUCUAAUUUCCUCUUUUUCCAAAUAACUUUUUGCCUGCAACAAUAACAUGAGGAUCGAGAUAAGGCGCCAUGUCAAUUGAAGCAGCCCAUAGAAUGUGACUAUUAGAGGCAUUCCUAUGGCACUUUAGUCAUGAUUUUGUGGAUUCUUCUUCUUUGCCAUAGUAAGCACUUUCUGAACUUUACUAAGCGCAUUCAUCUUUCUUCCAUAUAAGAAAAAGACACCUAUAGUGGAAGACAAUGCUUUAGGCCAGAUCCAUGUAGAUAUCCUAUGCCUCGUCAAAAUUAUCAAGAGUAAUAAUUUCUAAGAUUACAGCCAAUCAAGAAAUAAAGUAGUAAGAUUGUUAAGUUUUCUCUUAAGCAAUGACAAAUAAGACCAAACAUGGUCAAAUGAGUCCUGCAAGUUCUCUUUCUAAUGAGGGCAUAUCAAAUACACAAGAAUCAUAUCCUUCAAAAUUAAAUCCCACACUUCCCAAAAUUUACAUUGAAAAUUUUCCUGGAAGGUUCUUAGUGACAGGAGACUUUAAAUUCGAGCAGGAGCAGCUUUAAUGUAAGCAUCAUCGUCCACAUGACAACAUAAAACUAUUAGUUUGGGUAACCAAAAUGCCAAGUCAUUCUUCUUUUUUUUUAAAAAAAAAUAAUAAUUCUAUCAAUAGAUUCGAGUAUGCUAGCCAUUACGCCUUUGACAUGUGCAUCAAUUUUCAAACACAACAUUGGCCACUAUGUCAUUUUAAUAAAUAGUACAUAUUGUAAGAGGUUGUGAAGAAGUGGGUGUUAGGUCAUCUUACUACCUAACCUCAAGAAAAUUAUUCAGUUAAAAUAUCUUUCAACUUAGCUAAUUAUACCAUUAGAAACAGUUACCGUAAGCAUCAUUUGGAGUUUAAAAAGACCUUAUGUCGAAAGAAAUUAUUUAAUUUGACACAAACACAAUUAUAUGUAUAUAACACUAUAUACCUAAACAAAAAAAUGUUCUACAAUCAAUGCAUAUAAACUACAACGCAUAAGUGUUAUCUUUCUCAUAUAACUGCAUAAUAGAUCGUAGCUAGAAACCCAAAAGUAUAUUGCUGCACACAAAGGAAAAGAUAAAUCCAGGGGAAAGAAAUAGAAUAAGUAGAUAAAAAUUGAAAUCUUGUCAAGGAUGACAGAAUUUCAAAUAAGAAGUUCCUCUUCAAUAUACAUAUUCAUUUGUGCGUCAGAGUCCGAUCAUCUGAAUUUGAGCUUUAUUUUUCUAUGCCUUUGUGCAACAUUUUUUAUAUCAAAUCUACCCAGUAAAAUCAGUCAUCUAAAUACUAGUAUCAUCUAUCUUUUUCCUUUUUUUGGUUGAAUGAGAUGUAAGACUCUAUUUUGAAUAUUCAUAAUUUACCUUUAAUUAAAACAUAGAAGUUAUACUCCAACUAAGAGACUACUUCGUGAAAAACUCUUUAUUCGUUGUAUAGCCAUUAAUUACUUGCACCUUAUUAGGAAUGGCCACUUAUUUCUUCUUCUUUUUCUGAGCAUAUUGUCAAAUGCAUAAAUUCAUAUUCUGAUAGAAGAGGAGCAGUAUAAAAUCUAUAAUACUUUAUCAGCAAUAUACAAAAUAUAUCUUCACCAGUCCAGUUACUCAAUUUAGAAGAGUAUUAAAUAUGUCAGUCUAAGUUCAAUAAAUAAUAAAGAUUUAUAGUGAGCCAUGCUACUCUUGUCAAAAGUUAAGGCUAAUGUCUGAUAUACAUAUAUAGUUGAUAUAGCAUGUCUUCCCGGUGAAAGACUGUGAUGUUAGAUUAUUCAUAGUUUUAGUGCUACAUCUUGAUGUGCUUAAAUUUCUCUAUCCAUUCUCCUAAAUUUCUUGAACCCAAAUAUAAAAUAUUAUGCUCCCUGCCAAGAAUCUACCCAUCAAAAUGUAAUUUCAUUAUUUGCAUUAAAUUUGACAAUUAUACAAUAAUAUGCCUUGUACGAAUCCUUAAAGAAACUACAGAAAGACAGCAAGUAUGAAGCCUUGCACUAUACCUGAAGUAAAAGAAAUUUAUGAUGUCAAGUAGUGCGAUUCUUUCACUCUACCUCAAAAGCCAAGAGCUAGCAUAGGCUAAAAGAUACAGAUAGUUAUUAUUUUUCUCAUCGAGUAAGAAAGCAAUCCUUCAAUGGGAAGGUAGAAGCAUCAACAGAAGCAUCACAACAAAAUUAUGGAAUCCACAAUAUAAACACAACCUUUUAGCUAAGCUGGUAGUAACAAUAAGUAAAAGUAAGUGUUACACAGGAAGGGAAGAGGAAAAAAUGACAGUGGUACAUCUGAGUAGUGCUAGCUCCGCAUGGACUAAAUGUUCAACAUGUUCGAGAAAUUAUAGCAACCAAAGAUGACCAAAUAAAAACUUCAAGAUUUAUGACUGGAUAAAUUAUUGUUAUUGCAACUCUUUUGUUUAUUUUAUUCUUCUUGAAUUUCAGUUAUAUAACCGUGCAUUAAGCACCAAUCUGACAGAUAAGUUAGUAAUAUAGAAGUACUACUUUAAAAAAAACUGCAUUGAUUUCUUUUGAAUACAGAGAUGGAGUAACAUAGAGAUGAUCAGCAGUAAUCCAAACUGAGCAGGAUCUUUUGCUUUAUUAAUAAUAUAGGUGAUGUAUCAACUUUUUUCUACUAUUAGGGAAAACUUUAAUUCCCUUUCUGAAAAAGAUAUGGAUUUCUUUAAAUAUAAUUGUACCUGAAAAAUGACUUAAAGUGAAUUCAUGUUUCUAAAGCUAAGAAAAAUUCUAGGAGAGUCAAACGUAUGAAGCUUAAGCACUUCGCCAAAGUAAAAAUAGCAUCAUUUAUAGUGCUAUAUCCACUUUUUUAGAAUACGUGCUACUAUUGAAAAGAGUAUAACUUACAGUGUUGAACUCCACUUCUUUCAGAAUAUUUACUACUACAUGAUGUGAUUCUUCUCUGCUGUUUUGCUUUNNNNNNNNNNNNNNNNNNNNNNNNNNNNNNNNNNNNNNNNNNNNNNNNNNNNNNNNNNNNNNNNNNNNNNNNNNNNNNNNNNNNNNNNNNNNNNNNNNNNNNNNNNNNNNNNNNNNNNNNNNNNNNNNNUUUGCUUUGGCUUUCUUUCCACUUUUUUUCCUUCUCCGAAUCCAAAAGGUGCAACAACCAAAAAAUAAAAAAUAUACACAAAGCUCAUGAGAGAAUAUUUUGGUUUGGUGCAAUGAUAAAGAACCAUUCUGUCAAUCUCCUAACACAGAUGGAUAGCAGAUCCUACAUCCUAGAUGAUUACUGACAUUACAAUAUAUUUUGGAUUGACACGUUACAAUACUCAUUUUGAGAGGGAAAUGGUAACCCAGAGUAUUUUUUCCAACACUACUCGUCAUAACAAUAUCUCAAACACUAAACCUGUACAUCUUUAUUUUUAUUACAAUAAAGAAUAGUGGAAACACCUUUAUUGUAUUGAAAUUAACAAUUGGAAAACAUAACAUUACAUACCUUCCUCUUCCGAUAGAUUAGAGAAUUUUUCAAAUUUCAAUCCUUGAUCUUGUCAGCAGUAGUUUGAGUGUCACACAAAUUCUUUUCCUAUACUAAUCAGAAAGAGAAUAAAGAUAUUAUGCAAUUAUAUAAUUUAUUUGUGCUCUCUGAUAAAAAAUAGAGGGACCAUGAGCACAGAGUUAAAAAGCUAAUGUGCCUUCAAGUUAACUUUAAUCACAAACCUGUGUUUCAUGUAUAAUUUAAAGCUACAACAACAAAUAAUCAACUUACAUCAGGAUGAUUGUGAGGAAUAAUCAAUGGCUCCUUAGGGUUUCUCUUUACGUUUGAUGUUGUUGAUAAUCUAAUUGCAAACUUGGUUCUUGAACUUUGAUGAAGCCAAGAUUUGAAUUUUUUUGGGGCCAUGAAACUACUGAAGGUUGGUCAUUGAUGCCUGGAGUCGUCCUCACUUUCUUCUCACAACAUCUCUUUAGCUUUCUAUUUUUAGUCACUAUCACAUAACGUCUCUAAUUGUUCUUCCCAUAGUCCUUAAAAUUUGCCGAAAAUAAUUGGUUCUAAGUUUUUCUGAUUCUUAACGAAGAGAAUGUUGUCUAUAAGCAUUGAAAAUUAGGGACAAAAGUGUGGUGAAGCCGAUGAAGGUUGCAGGGCAUAGGUUGAAAUCCAAAUCAAAACCUGCCGGAAAUUCUCAUCCUCAGUUUAAGCCAUACAUUCAUUUUAAAUUUGCAAAAUCAUCAUUUUUCCUAUUUAAAGGUGAUUUUUUAGUAGGUACUACUAUCACGUUUCCAUAUUUGUCGCUCUUUUUCUCUUUUUUUAUUUCAAUCAUUCCUUUCCUUUUUGCUUUUGAUGUUCUGGUUAUGGAUUUUAUUAUAUUUAUCCUUUUCAGAACUUGACAUAGAAAACGACUUAAAAAUAUGCUAAGUGGACCUUUUUUCAGUCAUUAAAAAUGUAAGUGAUGCAUCUUUGGGUGUUGGAUAAUAGAUUAAAUUAUAGAAUACCCGGAAAAAGGAAGGGAGAAAAGUACUUUUAGGCAUAACGUCAAACACCUUUGCUACAUCAAUCCCUUUUCAUUACAAGUUUCAUUCCUGAUGGUAAAUUCUAUGUGCUUCCAUAGAAGAGUUUGGACUAACCACAUGCAUGUACAAAAUAUACUAAGAAAGCAUGAAGAAAACAGAAAUAUCAGAUAUAUUGAAGUUAAAUAUUCACAAUUAUACAUGGUGUACUAAGGAUAUUUAAGAAAAUGUUAAGAGAAUUUCAGAGGCAUUAUGAAAAUUGUAAAAUCAUCAUUCUCUAAAAAUAGAACGAACCUGGCAUGCCCAUUAAGAAAACCCAAGGAAAACUAAGAAGUAUUCAACUAUCACAUAUUAAUAGGAAUAGUAAUUUUGAAAUAAGUUCAGAAUCUAAGGCCAAAAGCAGGAGCAAGAAAAAUAAAAUGCACAAGAUGAGUAAGACAGAAAAAUAGUUGUUCAAGAUGGAGAAUUACUUUCUCUCUUGCCUGUUAUCUUCGCCAUUAUCUUCACAUGUGACUAAUUAACUGAAGAGUCAAAGGCACAAAAAUUUCUAGAAUAGCGGUAAAACAUUGAUGGAGAAUGAAUUUUACCAGCAGAUGAUUGAGAAAUGGAAGGAACAGGGUUAAUGGUAGGAGAAGAAUAAGACAGGUGUCCCACAAAGAUAUAAAGACCAAAAACGUGUCAGGAAAAUGAGGAAAUUA